CAUGCAAGUCGAACGGAAACCUUCGGGUUUUAGUGGCGAACGGGUGAGUAACACGUAAGCAACCUACCCUAAAGACGAGGAUAACCAUUGGAAACAGUGGCUAAGACUGGAUAGGAAGAAAUAAGGCAUCUUAUUUCUUUUAAAAGACCUAGUAAUAGGUAUACUUUAGGAGGGGCUUGCGCCAUAUUAGUUAGUUGGUAGGGUAAUGGCCUACCAAGACGAUGAUGUNUAGCUGGACUGAGAGGUUGAACAGCCACAUUGGGACUGAGACACGGCCCAAACUCCUACGGGAGGCAGCAGUAAGGAAUUUUCGGCAAUGGAGGAAACUCUGACCGAGCAACGCCGCGUGAACGACGAAGUACUUUGGUAUGUAAAGUUCUUUUAUCAAGGAAGAAAAGCAAGUGGCGAACCAUUUGUUUGCCGGUACUUGAUGAAUAAGCCCCGGCUAAUUAUGUGCCAGCAGCCGCGGUAAGACAUAAGGGGCAAGUGUUAUCCGGAAUUAUUGGGCGUAAAGGGUGCGUAGGCGGUCUAGUAAGUCAGUGGUGUAAUGGCAACGCUCAACGUUGUCCGGCUAUUGAAACUGCUAAACUUGAGUUAGAUAGAGGCGAGUGGAAUUCCAUGUGUAGCGGUAAAAUGCGUAAAUAUAUGGAGGAACACCAGAGGCGUAGGCGGCUCGCUGGGUCUUAACUGACGCUGAGGCACGAAAGCGUGGGGAGCAAACAGGAUUAGAUACCCUGGUAGUCCACGCCGUAAACGAUGAGUACUAAGUGUCGGGUUAAACCGGUACUGAAGUUAACACAUUAAGUACUCCGCCUGAGUAGUACGUACGCAAGUAUGAAACUUAAAGGAAUUGACGGGACUCCGCACAAGCGUGGAUCAUGUUGUUUAAUUCGAAGAUACCCGAAAAACCUUACCAGGUCUUGACAUGUUUUUGCGAAACGGUAGUAAUAUCGUAGAGGUUAUCAGAAACACAGGUGGUGCAUGGUUGUCGUCAGCUCGUGUCGUGAGAUGUUAGGUUAAGUCCUAAAACGAGCGAAACCCUUAUCGUUAGUUGCCAGCACGUUAUGGUGGGGACUUUAACGAGACUGCCAGUGAUAAACUGGAGGAAGGUGAGGAUCACGUCAAAUCAGCAUGCCCCUUAUGACCUGGGCUACAAACGUGAUACAAUGGCUGUUACAAAGGGUAGCUGAAACGUAAGUUCUUGGCCAAUCCCCAAAAAACAGUCUCAGUCCGGAUUGAAGUCUGCAACUCGACUUCAUGAAGUUGGAAUCGCUAGUAAUCGCGAAUCAGCAUGUCGCGGUGAAUACGUUCUCGGGGU
rnacentral:rRNA from 1 species